UACGGAGGGUGCGAGCGUUGUCCGGAUUCACUGGGCGUAAAGGGUGCGCAGGCGGUUGUGUGAGUCAGGUGUGAAAGCCCGGGGCUUAACCCCGGAAUUGCGCCUGAAACUACAUGACUAGAGCAUUGGAGAGGGUAGCGGAAUUCACGGUGUAGCAGUGAAAUGCGUAGAUAUCGUGAGGAACACCAGAGGCGAAGGCGGCUACCUGGACAAUUGCUGACGCUCAGGCACGAAAGCGUGGGGAGCAAAAGGG
rnacentral:rRNA from 1 species